GAUUAAGUUAUUAAGGGCGCACGGUGGAUGCCUUGGCACUAGAAGCCGAUGAAGGACGUUACUAACGACGAUAUGCUUUGGGGAGCUGUAAGUAAGCUUUGAUCCAGAGAUUUCCGAAUGGGGAAACCCAGCAUGAGUUAUGUCAUGUUAUCGAUAUGUGAAUACAUAGCAUAUCAGAAGGCACACCCGGAGAACUGAAACAUCUUAGUACCCGGAGGAAGAGAAAGAAAAUUCGAUUCCCUUAGUAGCGGCGAGCGAAACGGGAAGAGCCCAAACCAACAAGCUUGCUUGUUGGGGUUGUAGGACACUCUAUACGGAGUUACAAAGGACGACAUUAGACGAAUCAUCUGGAAAGAUGAAUCAAAGAAGGUAAUAAUCCUGUAGUCGAAAAUGUUGUCUCUCUUGAGUGGAUCCUGAGUACGACGGAGCACGUGAAAUUCCGUCGGAAUCUGGGAGGACCAUCUCCUAAGGCUAAAUACUCUCUAGUGACCGAUAGUGAACCAGUACCGUGAGGGAAAGGUGAAAAGCACCCCGGAAGGGGAGUGAAAUAGAACCUGAAACCGUGUGCUUACAAGUAGUCAGAGCCCGUUAAUGGGUGAUGGCGUGCCUUUUGUAGAAUGAACCGGCGAGUUACGAUUUGAUGCAAGGUUAAGCAGUAAAUGUGGAGCCGUAGCGAAAGCGAGUCUGAAUAGGGCGUUUAGUAUUUGGUCGUAGACCCGAAACCAGGUGAUCUACCCUUGGUCAGGUUGAAGUUCAGGUAACACUGAAUGGAGGACCGAACCGACUUACGUUGAAAAGUGAGCGGAUGAACUGAGGGUAGCGGAGAAAUUCCAAUCGAACCUGGAGAUAGCUGGUUCUCUCCGAAAUAGCUUUAGGGCUAGCCUCAAGUGAUGAUUAUUGGAGGUAGAGCACUGUUUGGACGAGGGGCCCCUCUCGGGUUACCGAAUUCAGACAAACUCCGAAUGCCAAUUAAUUUAACUUGGGAGUCAGAACAUGGGUGAUAAGGUCCGUGUUCGAAAGGGAAACAGCCCAGACCACCAGCUAAGGUCCCAAAAUAUAUGUUAAGUGGAAAAGGAUGUGGCGUUGCCCAGACAACUAGGAUGUUGGCUUAGAAGCAGCCAUCAUUUAAAGAGUGCGUAAUAGCUCACUAGUCGAGUGACACUGCGCCGAAAAUGUACCGGGGCUAAACAUAUUACCGAAGCUGUGGAUUGUCCUUUGGACAAUGGUAGGAGAGCGUUCUAAGGGCGUUGAAGCAUGAUCGUAAGGACAUGUGGAGCGCUUAGAAGUGAGAAUGCCGGUGUGAGUAGCGAAAGACGGGUGAGAAUCCCGUCCACCGAUUGACUAAGGUUUCCAGAGGAAGGCUCGUCCGCUCUGGGUUAGUCGGGUCCUAAGCUGAGGCCGACAGGCGUAGGCGAUGGAUAACAGGUUGAUAUUCCUGUACCACCUAUAAUCGUUUUAAUCGAUGGGGGGACGCAGUAGGAUAGGCGAAGCGUGCGAUUGGAUUGCACGUCUAAGCAGUAAGGCUGAGUAUUAGGCAAAUCCGAUACUCGUUAAGGCUGAGCUGUGAUGGGGAGAAGACAUUGAGUCUUCGAGUCGUUGAUUUCACACUGCCGAGAAAAGCCUCUAGAUAGAAAAUAGGUGCCCGUACCGCAAACCGACACAGGUAGUCAAGAUGAGAAUUCUAAGGUGAGCGAGCGAACUCUCGUUAAGGAACUCGGCAAAAUGACCCCGUAACUUCGGGAGAAGGGGUGCUCUUUAGGGUUAACGCCCAGAAGAGCCGCAGUGAAUAGGCCCAAGCGACUGUUUAUCAAAAACACAGGUCUCUGCUAAACCGUAAGGUGAUGUAUAGGGGCUGACGCCUGCCCGGUGCUGGAAGGUUAAGAGGAGUGGUUAGCUUCUGCGAAGCUACGAAUCGAAGCCCCAGUAAACGGCGGCCGUAACUAUAACGGUCCUAAGGUAGCGAAAUUCCUUGUCGGGUAAGUUCCGACCCGCACGAAAGGCGUAACGAUUUGGGCACUGUCUCAACGAGAGACUCGGUGAAAUCAUAGUACCUGUGAAGAUGCAGGUUACCCGCGACAGGACGGAAAGACCCCGUGGAGCUUUACUGUAGCCUGAUAUUGAAAUUCGGCACAGCUUGUACAGGAUAGGUAGGAGCCUUUGAAACGUGAGCGCUAGCUUACGUGGAGGCGCUGGUGGGAUACUACCCUAGCUGUGUUGGCUUUCUAACCCGCACCACUUAUCGUGGUGGGAGACAGUGUCAGGCGGGCAGUUUGACUGGGGCGGUCGCCUCCUAAAAGGUAACGGAGGCGCUCAAAGGUUCCCUCAGAAUGGUUGGAAAUCAUUCAUAGAGUGUAAAGGCAUAAGGGAGCUUGACUGCGAGACCUACAAGUCGAGCAGGGUCGAAAGACGGACUUAGUGAUCCGGUGGUUCCGCAUGGAAGGGCCAUCGCUCAACGGAUAAAAGCUACCCCGGGGAUAACAGGCUUAUCUCCCCCAAGAGUUCACAUCGACGGGGAGGUUUGGCACCUCGAUGUCGGCUCAUCGCAUCCUGGGGCUGUAGUCGGUCCCAAGGGUUGGGCUGUUCGCCCAUUAAAGCGGUACGCGAGCUGGGUUCAGAACGUCGUGAGACAGUUCGGUCCCUAUCCGUCGUGGGCGUAGGAAAUUUGAGAGGAGCUGUCCUUAGUACGAGAGGACCGGGAUGGACAUACCUCUGGUGUACCAGUUGUCGUGCCAACGGCAUAGCUGGGUAGCUAUGUGUGGACGGGAUAAGUGCUGAAAGCAUCUAAGCAUGAAGCCCCCCUCAAGAUGAGAUUUCCCAACUUCGGUUAUAAGAUCCCUCAAAGAUGAUGAGGUUAAUAGGUUCGAGGUGGAAGCAUGGUGACAUGUGGAGCUGACGAAUACUAAUCGAUCGAAGACUUAAUCAA
rnacentral:rRNA from 1 species